rnacentral:rRNA from 1 species
CACGUAGGGGGCAAGCGUUGUCCGGAUUUAUUGGGCGUAAAGAGCUCGUAGGCGGUUCGGUAAGUCAGGUGUGAAACCUCCAGGCUCAACCUGGAGACGCCACCUGAUACUGCUGUGACUUGAGUCCGGUAGGGGAGUGUGGAAUUCCUGGUGUAGCGGUGGAAUGCGCAGAUAUCAGGAGGAACACCAGCGGCGAAGGCGGCACUCUGGACCGGCACUGACGCUGAGGAGCGAAAGCGUGGGUAGCAAACAGG